UUCCAACAGAAAAAUUUUAGGCUUACUACAUCCGUGACCAAUGUGAAAAUUUUCAUCACAAUAGUAGCAUAGCCCUUUCUCCCUUCUUUCUUGCAUUUGAGUUAGGAUUAUUCUUUUAAUGGGAAGGUUUUGUUUUCCAUUUGGGUUGAAGGUAUUUGGGUAGGUCUUAUUUUCUAGUUUGGCUUGUGGGAGUGGUAGUCUUGGUAGGGGAAUGAGAGCAGGUACCUUGGUAAUGGAUGGGGUGUUUGGUAGUGUUAAUUGGUAGGACUUACCCGAGACACCCGUAUACCUCCUUGUCACUUCUUCUUCCUGGAAUUUU
rnacentral:lncRNA from 1 species